AAUCAAAGUUCCCAUAAUUUUCUCGAGUCUCGAAUGUUUCAAUCCCUCCAUUUUUCUUCCCCAUGAUUUCUGGGAAGGUUUAUCCACCUUACUCCACACCAUGGAUUUCCCCGCCAACACAGCUUCAUCUUCAUCUUCGUUCCCCAGUUCCUCUUCUCAAAAUCUCCAGUGGACUCAGAUUAAUUAGCUCUGAAUCCAUCUCCCUCUCUUUUCCGACCAUUUCUGCUUCUAAACCCUGCGCCAAGUCCGUUAGAUUUUCGAAUUCAGUGGCAAAAGUUUAUCGCUAUGAGUAUGAGGGCCAAAACUCGACUACUUUUUCGGACUUGGAAGACUUGUCCGAGAAUGGAGUUGUCUAUAAGAAGACAUUGGCGAUGGUGGAGUGCUCCAUGUUCGCUGCACUUAGUGGCUUGGUCUACUUCUUGAGUAAUUCACUUGCUCUUGAGAAUUACUUCGGCUGUUUCUUCUGUCUACCAAUUGUAAUCUCUUCAAUGAGAUGGGGCAUAGCAGCUGGGAGAAAAACAAUGGUGGCGACAUUCUUGCUGCUGCUUAUUUUGUCUGGUCCAGUGAAAGCUUUAACCUAUCUGCUUAAGCAUGGUUUAGUGGGGUUGACAAUGGGCUCCUUGUGGAGGCUUGGAGCAAAUUGGAGUAUUUCGAUCUUCCUGUGCACAAUCGUUCGGGCACUCGGGGCAGUGGGGUAUGUCUUAACAUCUUCAUUCUUGAUAAGAGAAAACAUACUAGCUCUGAUCACUAUUAAUAUUCAUGCUUCCCUCACCCUUAUCUUGACUGCCUGGGGUGUAAACUUGAUUCCAUCAAUGAGUGCAAUAUAUGCUAUCUUUGGGACGCUGGUAUUGCUGAACUCGGGAUGCUUCAUGUUUUUGCUCCACCUUUUGUACUCCAUAUUCCUUACCAGACUUGGCCUGAAGACUUCAUUGACAUUGCCAAGGUGGCUGGAUAAGGCGAUGUAAAUAUAAAACGGGUAUUAAUUAUUUUCAUGAUGAAAAUUUGCCAUUUAUUCUCUCUUUUUUCUGGGGGAGGGAGGAAAGGAGGAAGAUAGCUUAGGCUCAAUGGAAUGUUUCAUUUGCACCCAAUAUUUUCGAGCCCAUUGGCCAGAAGGAGAAUAAGGUUCCUCCUCAUCGAGUAGGCAAGUAUUUUCCAUGGACAUUGUGAGACAUGCACACAGAAAUUGUGAUGGACAGCUAGGAAUGUUUUAAAUUGAAUAAUUUUACUAAAUUUAUCUUCCUUUGUUGCUGGAAGACAUGCACACACAUUGGAUGCAUUUUUCAAAAUGCCCAAGGUUUCAAAUAUUGCAAUAAUGUCUACUUUUUAAUUUUGUAA